rnacentral:tRNA from 1 species
GCCUGGGUGACUUGGUCGGUUAAGUGCUGGACUUUGGCUCCGGUCAUGAUCUCAUGGUUCAUAGGUUCGAGCCCUGCAUCAGGCU